GGAGAGAUGGCUGAGCGGUUGAAAGCGCUGGUCUUGAAAACCAGAGUGGGGGUAACCCCACCGGGGGUUCGAAU
rnacentral:tRNA from 1 species